UACGUAGGGUGCAAGCGUUAAUCGGAAUUACUGGGCGUAAAGCGUGCGCAGGCGGCUUUGCAAGACAGAUGUGAAAUCCCCGGGCUUAACCUGGGGACUGCAUUUGUGACUGCAUGGCUGGAGUGCGGCAGAGGGGGAUGGAAUUCCGCGUGUAGCAGUGAAAUGCGUAGAUAUGCGGAGGAACACCGAUGGCGAAGGCAAUCCCCUGGGCCUGCACUGACGCUCAUGCACGAAAGCGUGGGGAGCAAACAGG
rnacentral:rRNA from 1 species